UACGAAGGGUGCAAGCGUUACUCGGAAUUACUGGGCGUAAAGCGUGCGUAGGUGGUUUGUUAAGUCUGUUGUGAAAGCCCCGGGCUCAACCUGGGAAUGGCAAUGGAUACUGGCAGGCUAGAGUGCGGUAGAGGGUAGUGGAAUUCCCGGUGUAGCGGUGAAAUGCAUAGAGAUCGGGAGGAACACCAGUGGCGAAGGCGGCUACCUGGACCAGCACUGACACUGAGGCACGAAAGCGUGGGGAGCAAACAGG
rnacentral:rRNA from 1 species